GGAGCGGUGUCCGAGCGGUUGAAGGAUCUGGUCUUGAAAACCAGCGUGGCGGCAACGCCACCGUGGGUUCGAAUCCCACCUGCUCCG
rnacentral:tRNA from 1 species